CCUCAAGCAGCUGACAGCACCUGUGUUGACAGAAGAAUAUGAUGGAACUGGAUCCUUGAGGGUUCACCACAACAGGGAGCCAAAACCACAUGUUCAGAUCUGAGAAAAUGAUCUCACUCAAAGCUGCUGUCUCUCAGACCGUGUGGCCUCCUGGUCCUGAGAGGUGCCGGUGGAGCGGGAGGUGCUGUGCUCAGGCUGAUGUGUCACUGGAGUGUGGAGGAGAAGUGGGAUUGUGCUCCGGGUCACCAGAAUGUCUCCUGUGAGGGGCCUUCAGCUGCUGGAAGCCAACGCGUGGGUCAGGUAUUUGAACAUCACCAUUUUCUCAAACCCACUGCUACCAGAAACCCGGUGAUUC
rnacentral:lncRNA from 1 species